GGAAGUUUCUGAGCCUGUGGCGGUGGGUUCGGGCCCUGACUUUCUUCUUCCUUCGCCGCCGCCGCGAGCAGAGGUGGCGGAGCUCCCUUUUCCUCCGCUCCCCCCCCCUCCACGAGGAGGCUCCUGGUGUGCGCGGCCGGCCCCGGCUCGCUCCUCCCCUUCCCUCGCCGAUCUUCGUCAGGAGGAGGGAGGGCGACGGGACUUGCUGGUUGGGCCCUAACCUCCACAACCCCUCCUUCUCGCCUCGCUCUUUCGGCCUUUCCCCUCGGCCCUGACGCAAGGCCAGGGACGCGCACGCACGUCACGCUCCGAGAAAGCCGAAGGACAUAUCUUGUUCAUAUAUAUUCACUGAAACAACAUACUGCAACAAAUGUCAUAAAAAGACAGAAAUGAGAAUCAGUUUUGGUUCUAUUAAACCAGUCGAUAAAGAGAUCUCCAGAAAGGUAAAACAAUAAUCCUCUCAGUUUUGUUUUGUUUUGUUUUGUAAAGAUAGUUAAUUUAAAUGUGUUUGUUGUGUUAAUAUAUGACGAGGUUAUUGUCAUUUCAGAUGAAUACUUUUUAAUUUUCUCCACUUUUAUUUUUAAUAUCAAUAGAUACAACUCACAUAAACAAAAGCUCUUUGUGGGCCUCAAAAAUUUUUAAGAGUGUGAAAGGAUCCUCAGAUCAAAACCUUUGAGAAAUAGUAUAUAAAAUCAUUAAAAUUCUGAUUCUCUGCUUCAUGCUUCUAACGUACAAACUGUUGACAGGCCAUUCACUAUCAUUCCAGGAUCCUUAUCACUAGGAAUUUCUGCAGUGUCUUUCAACACUGUUCCGCCUCUGGAGAGGCUGGUUGUUUGACUUUCAGUUAGGUUUUUCUCCACCUUGAAAGAAAUUAAGCUCUUCUUAAGUCAGCCCGCUAUCACAUGGAAGAUUGUCAACUAAAACAGUGAAACUUCUCAAUUCAAUAACAAAAACGUAGUGGCUAGUAUUUACUGAGCACUUGCUGUGUAUCAGGCUCUAUGCUAAGUGCUUUAUUUUUAUUUUCUCAUUUAAUCCUCAUCAGUACCUAUAAGUAGGGUGACCAUAGUUCUGGGUUUGCCUGGGGCGGUCCUGGUUUAUGCCACUUGCUGAAGCGUAAUUAUUAAUAGUAUCCCCUUUCCAGCACAUUAAGGUUUUCCAGUUUGGACAUAAAUUGUCUUCUCAUCUGACUUAUAAAAAUUAUUACCCACAGUUUACAAAUGAGGAAAUUUAGGCAUAGUUUGAAUGCCUUGCCCAAAGUACAUUGCUAGUAAAUUUGGAUCUGGAUUCUAACCCAAGUCUGUCUAGGUUUGUAGUCCGGUCUUUUAAGAAUUACAAGAUGUUUCACAGUGAUAUCAGUCCUGAGAUUUAUGUUGAACACAACUAUAGUAAUAAAUUUCCCAGAAAAAGGAAAUAGAACACAAAAUUUGUAAUACAAUUUUAAGAUCAAUUUCACUAGUAAGACUCAGAAGCAAAAGAAGUGCCUCUCCCAUGCUCAUCUUUCACACAGUUCAGAACCCACACUGGCUAUCAACCCUUUGCAGGAGAGCAAUGCUACCUCUGUGUGUGAAAGUGGGUGGGGAUUUGGGGGUACUGGGGGUAGAGUUCUUGCUGGUUCAAUAAAGCUGAAGGAUACCUAUUUACAGAAUAGGAGUGGUGGACUAAACUGCUAGAGACCUUCCUAAUAUGGAUUCUCCCUGAUCAUAAGUAACAGAACACUGGUUUCGGAGGGGGUAUGAAUGUGCCUAGCUAAAAACUACAUCUUCCAGCACAAUGCAGAUGAAGGACAAGAACAUAUUAUGUAGUUCUGGCCAAUGAAAUGGAAGCAGAACAGUUUGGAUGAGGCUUCUGUAAAUGCUUCUGAAAACGGAAGACCAGUUUAACUGACCUGUGCCUUUUGCCCUUCACCCUUACUUUUCUUUACGUCUGGAUGCAAUACUGGAGUUUGGGCAGCCGUCUUGUGACUACAAAGGAACAAGUGUGGGCUAAGGAUUGCUAGGUGGAGGGAGAGUGGAGGACCCUGGCUCCCUGAGGAUGUUGUGGAUGUGCCAAACCAAUCCUGGACUGAAAAAUACAUAAAUCUGGUAAUAUGUUUAAGCCGCUGCUUUUUCCAGUUUUAUUACAGCCAAACUAAAUUCCAAACACUUCAGUGUGACCCCAUGCUCAUCCCACUUCCAUGAUGGAUAUCAUUAAUUAAUGACAGCACUCCUUCCUGCGCAUCCUAAAUAUAGCCUCAGACUCCAUCUCAAAAUAAGUGCCUGAAACCCACAGUGGAGCAGAUCAGCCACAUUGCCCAGCAGCUCGGGCUCAAGAAGGACAUGGUGUGGUUCUACAGCCCUCAUUAGAAGGGCAACCGAUUUAGCAGUGACUAUUCAUGAUGAGAGGAUUUUGAGUCUGCAUGCCUCCUUUCUCAGAGGCACCAGUAUCCUUUUUCUAUGGCACGAGGGCCCCAUUUUGGUGCCCCAGGUUAUGGGGUCCUUCACUAGGCUGUACCGCAUCCAUUCAAAUUGAGGUGCCUGCCCCUUCCCAGGAAUGGGGGAAGAGGAGUGGGAAAUCUAUGGGAAGAGAACCCUGGGGAUUAUAUCAGGCCUUUGGGGAUUAAGCUCUUCAUUCACUAAGAAAGGAAUUGGGAACACAAAGGGUGUAGGGACAGGGAGUUUGAGGAAUUAGUUGGAGGGAAGGUAAAGUUCAGUGAUGCUCUGUUUUUGUUUUUAAUGCAUUUUAUUUUAGAGAGAGAAAGAAUGUGUGAGCCCAGAAGGGGCAGAGAGGGAGACACAAUGUGAAGCAGGCUCUAAGCUCUGAGCUGUCAGCACAGAGCCUGACACAGGGCUCAAACUCAUGGGAAAUCAUGACCUGAGCUGAAGUCGGACGCCUAAACCAACUGAGCCACCCAGGCGCCCUUUUGUGGUGCUCUUGAUUUUAAUCUAUACAUCACGCAUAACUUUUUUCUUAAGCCUGGGGGAGGCGCACACAAACAUAGUAUAUUUCAGAAUAAAAGUAAAACACAAAAUUUGUGAUAAAAUUUUAAGAUGAAUUUUACUAAUAAUAGAUGAAAAUGAUAGAUGUGCUGGUCCCAUGCUCAUCUUUUCCAUGGUUCAGAGGCCCAUUACCAAUAGGUCAGAGAUGGUACCAGCAAUUAAAUCAUUUUUCAUGCCUGUCCUAGAGCAACUGUUGUAAUUUUGGGGGGGUUUGGUCCAAAAACUAGGAUUCACACUUUGGCAUAAAACUACGAACAUUACAGUUAUCUUAUACUAGUUAUGCCUUAGUUAUAGAGAUAAAUCAAAUUAAUACAUUGAAUUAUGUCAGAAUUUAAAAUGGAUAUACCUUUUUGGGAUAGUUUGUUAAUGUGUAACUUCAUCAGAAUAUGUACUCUUAGGAGAUUUUCAGGAAUAUUUGGAAGUUCAAGUAUAGAACAAGAAUACUUUAAAUUUCCAAUUAUAUCAACUAAGAGAGUUGAUGGAGAAAGUGCAAACAAACAUGAACAAUUCAUCUAUGUUGUGUUAAAGUUCUUAUUAAUGAAGUCAUUAUAAUCUUAAAGUACAUGAUUGGUGAUAUAGAUCAAGUGAAAUGAUUUCUCCCAGAACUUUUUAACUGACAAUGAGAAUCUUAUUUUGUUUUCAGAGCAUUACAAUAAACGUAUUAGACUUAGAAUUUAA